GUGGGCGUAGCUCAGUUGGUUAGAGCUCCGGAUUGUGAUUCCGGAGGUCGUGGGUUCGAGUCCCAUCGUCCACCCCA
rnacentral:tRNA from 1 species